AAUCUGCAGCUAAAUAUCAGAAGGAAGCAAUGCAAACAAAGAAACACUUGAUGAAUCAAAUCAGAUACUUGGCCAANUUGUUUAAAAUAUANGCAUAAGUCAGUGAAACAGUUCAAAUACAAAAGACACACAAUUCAAUAUCCGACUGCUCAGCUCUACAGCCCUCAAAAACAAACAACUGAAAAAUCUGUGCCACCAUUUUGGCAAUGCCUGGGCUCACACCUACUAAAUUUUAGAAUUUAGUUUUAAAUAUAGAUCAUCAAAUAAAACUUAAAAGUGUUCUAUAUUCUUGCAUUGCCAUAUCUCUAUAUUGAAAAAAAACAAAAAACACAAAGAAACCAGUGCAAAAAUACCAGUUGACAGAGGAACAACAUUAAAUACGNAUUUUAAAAUAAAAAUCAACUUAUUAUCUACAACAUUAAACCAUNGGCCCAUUGUAUAAAUUGUCUAUAAAAGAGCUUUUUCAAAAACCCUCUUUCAUUACAAAAAGGNCACCUAUAUUGUCUCUCGAGAAAGUAGUUACGGUCACUCUAUNCUUUUGCAAUGUCUCUAUGCUGUGUGGGCACUCUGACUUGCAGGCGGCUCCUGCUCUCUAUGGUGGUGCUCCUCCCUUUUUCAUCCUCCGCUCCACCUGACCUUCUCCAAGAGAUUUUUGUUGUUCUUNUUCCGUUGCCUUUCNGCGUCUACUUAUAUUACUUUUUUAGAUUCCAUGCCUCCAUUAUCGGCUCUAGUAAANAUGUUUUUUACCUUGGCAGGGUGGACAGGACUGGGGCUGGUGCUCUGCUACGUCGUCCCGCCGGGGGAAAAGCGCAUAAGCGAGAUGGAAAAGAGUCUGCCUAGAACCAGUCCACAGGAGAAAGCAGAGGUGAAACAGCAGAAUGCGGAGAUCAUGGAAAUCCUUAAACAGGCUGCCCAAACCCAUGAGAAUGUAGCUGCGAAGGAAUGGCCGUGGUGGAAGAAAUAAGGAACACUCGUGAUUCUGAGUUAGAUCCUCUGNCUUUGGCCGCACUCAGCCUGGAAAAUGAACAUCUGGCAAAAAUAAGCCUCCAUGGCUAUUUGUUCUUGUUAGGACGGUACUGGGGGAGUUUUAUUAUUUCCCUUGUGGGGAUGUUCANUGUUGGUCUCUUAGAUCUCUCCACAACGACAUUCUGUUUGCUUUCUAGAUUUUUUUGAGGGGUAAACAAUGGACCAUAAAUGCUUGCUUGGAAGUGCAACAGCCCCUGGGAUUGUUAAAGGGUUUGGUGGAUUACAAAUUGUUUAGAAAACAGUGCUGUGGGGAUUACAUGGGUUACAAUUUUGUAUGCAUAUGUGUAUGCAGGGAAAACUUACAGAAAACCUUAUGAGAUGNUGCUUGUCUGUACACCGUGGACCUUUGAUGGCAGGAAUUGCUAACCUNGCUAUAAAAAGACAAUGUAAUGCAUACAAAAUCAGGAUAGGACUUAGGACUUCCUGUUUUUGAAUCCCCCCUCAGUCCUGGAAGCUCACCCACUGAUUGCAGGGCAUUCACUCUUUUUGAGCAUCACCUACCUCACAGGGUUGUUGUGAGGACAAAAUGUUUUCAAUUCAGAAAAUGGCAAGUAAAUAAAAAGAUUUUUUUUUUCCCA
rnacentral:lncRNA from 1 species